AUUUUGUUCUUCGUUUUAAAGCCAUCCGAAAGUAGUAGCAGAGAAGAACAAAUGUUCUUCACCAUCUCAAUCCUUCUCCCGUCACUUUUAUCCAAGCAAAACCAUGGAAACUUAAAUACUUUGGCUGGAAGAGUGAAACCAUGAUCUAAACAUCAAGCUAGAAUAAAUAGUGGAGAGAGAGGGUGUAAAGGUAGAGAGAAAGUGAAGAAAUGGAAGGAAAAUGGAGAUUUGAGGUGGAGAUCCGGUUUUGGGUUCGAAAUUUGGCAUCAAAAUGACAAGGAAGGUGUGCUUAAUCCACCUAGCUUACUUUGAUUCCAAUUACGAGAAACAUUCAGAAAGAAACCCGACUUUUCAGAAGCUGGGAUGACGAGAGUUAAGGUAAAUUCUUUUGAGGACAUCAGUUUUUUAGGGUCACCGAGUUAUCUAGUUUUAUGCAGAAAGAAUAUAUGUAUUUUAAGAGAAAGAUAAACUUAUAAAUAAUUUAUGUGAAUAUAAUUUCAACAAGAGUUGUAAUAAACAAUGUUCUUUAAAAAAAAAUUAUUGAAAGGUUGUUGAGACUUUUUUUAUAAAAAAAUAAUUUACUUGUAUUUUUUGACAUACUCGAUCAAUGAAAAUAAAUAUAAACGCAUGAGAAUGUGCACGGUGUUACACGGGGCCUUGACCAGGUCCGUUUCAUUCUAAACCCGGGUCAACAAUUGGCCUGGAAAAAACCAUUCGACCUGCCGAGUCAACCCGGAAUUGGGUGACCCGACAAAACCCGGCAGAGAACCUUUUUUAUAUAUAAAAAAGUGUUUUUUCUACUAGCUAGUUUAUAUUUUUCAGUUGGUUAUUAAUCCAUUUCAAAGUUCACUAUAUAAAUACUAGAAGAAUGUUU